UAGUGGACUGAGCAACAGACACUAUGACAAAUUCUUUCCAGCCCUUUAUCAAAUAUUACCCUUGUCCUAGUGACCUCCAGGUAUCUACUGUAGACGGAUCUUUUUUUCCUGUUGUUGGUAUAGGAGACAUCAAAGUUGUGACAAACCUUAUCUCUACCAAGAAACUUGAGACAAAGUCAUCUUAUAGAGCCUAUUUUGAUGAGGAUAUUUGUAUGAUAUUUGAUAAGGUAAAAUAUCAGAGGAUUGGAUUUACUAGAGAACAAGGACUAUAUUCUAUAAGGAUUGAGAUAACAUAGUGGAAUUAUUAACACCUAAAACGUUUUGAAGGUCUCCAGAAAAUUCGACAACUUCACCAACGAAUGGACCAUCUUUCUUUCAGCACUUUGAAAAUUCUUUUCCCUAUUGUUUCAAAAUGUCUCUACUCUCGAGUUGUGUCUAGUACACAUCACGUGUCUUCUGUAUGUACCUCACGUGUCUUCCUUUACCACUACAUGUGUGCGUGUCUAGAACCUUUUGAAGGGGCUGAUAUAAACAUCAUACCUCCCCUCCCUUCAUAGGUUUUUUUGUUUUUGCACGAAUGACAAAAGUAUUUCUUCUUUCAUGCCUGUGUGUGAGUUACCAUACAGCACACAACUUGAUUCAAGAUUCUACAUGGUAUCAAACUGAAUCCAGGUGCGAUCACUCUUUUUUCUUCCUUCUGCAUUGACCAAUUCUCCUAGUUCUUGUACUGUUUUUCACUGUCACUAUUGAGAUCUGUUGACAGAACACCGGAUCUUGUGAAUUCGAUUAUUUUCUUGAUAUGUAAAAUGUGGGAAAAUAUUUCUUUUUCUUCUGUGGGAGAUCCUUCAUGAAGGAUUCAAACCCUAGCCUCAAUCCUCCAAGACUUUGAUUCAAUGGUCAGAAUAUAUUCGAGAGGUUCUGACUAGGAGAAGAAAGGUACAUCAUCUGGUUGAAGGGAAACCAAACUCCUCUUCUCAUAAACAUUGUAGAUGGAGAGAGGAGGAUGCACUGAUUAAGACAUGGGUUUGGGGAACAAUGAUCCCUCAAAUUCAUCAAAACAGGUCUAUUGAUAAUUUCAUCAUGUCAAACAUACUACAAAUUAGACACGUUGAAUACCAAUAUUAUAACAGUUGAAAAUCAGAGGUACACAAUAGGAGAACACAUGAAGGGAGAGAAAUGACCUCUGUCGUGGAGGACAAAGGGAAGAACGGACAGCAAUCGUCUCAAGAUUUAUUCCCCUCUAAUGUCCUUUAUAUGGGAAGUAACCCUAGACAUUUUUCUCAAAAGUCCCUCAGCCUUUAUAAUAUUUCCUUACGACUUAAAACUUCCAACACUCCCUCUCAAGAUGAACUUCAGAAAAGUUCAUCUUUGAUUAUUCAGAAGUAUGAUAUUGAUAAUCUGCUGUGGUAGCUCCUUUCUUGACACUUCAAUUAUGCUGAUGUUGAAGAGUUUCUUUGCGGAGCUUUGACAAAGAUUAGAUGGCACUUGAUAAUCUUGGCAUGGUACAAAGGAAUGCAGAUUGUGGGAGACUCUAUUCCUUGGACCUAGGAGGAUGUUAUAUGAAUAUAAAAUAGAGGGUGAAAAAUUUAAGGACGUUCACUAAAGAUGACGGAUGAACAAUAAUAGAUGGUGGAUAAAACUAAAUUGAAGAAAAAUAAUGAUGAAGAACAUGAUGAAAUGAUUCUCUAAUGAUGAAGAUGGCACGAUAUUAGAAAGCCUAAGCCAACUAAUGAGAAAAAAACCUCUAUCUUCAGCCAGCAAAUUCUGUGCUCUCAAUCUUCUCUAAGAGGAAUGAGACCAAAUAGGGGUAUCAGGGAGUCAUGUAAUAGGAAGAGACACUUUAUCCUCAGCCAGCAAGUAUUGUGCUCUCAAUCCUCUUUAGGAGAAAUGAAGCCAAAUAGAAGAAUUAGGGGUCAUAUAGCUCUAGUAAUAAGACAACUCGUCGUCCUUUGACUAAGACUGACAUAAGAAGAGACCGUGCUAAAUGGUGGAAGAAAAAACUGAUCCAAAUGACAGGACAAUAUGUCAAUAAAUGGCAGGAGAGCUGCUACCACCAGAGGACAACAACAAUGACAACAAAGGCAACAGUGACAACAGUAAAGUACCUUUGCUGAAAGAAGAUAAUGCCAGAAAAGGAACCAUGACACGAAGUCUCAUAAAGAUAGGAGCAAAGAGGCCAAUGAAGAGGCUGAAGUUGACAGAGAUGGAAGAUCUCACUGAGAAAAACCAAGGAGCCAAGAAAUGACGCCAAAGUACUAGUAGAAGAUGUCAGCAAUGAUGAGAUUGACCUGUUACAGCAACAAAGAAGGGACAAAACCCUAGAGUGGAAGAUCGUUUGAGGAGACGGCUGCAACUAUAGUUGGGGCUGCAGCAAAGGCAGAGCUAGAUAGACAACAACGUCUACAAAGGCAGCAAGCUGGUGGCAAAUGCUGUGGCAGUGGACUGGUGGCAGAGGCAUAAACAAUGGUAGGGCAGCCUCAUGACUCCAAGAGUCGCCAGAGUACAGUCUGAUGCUGUGAUCCCCCUUAAUCAACCACUCUCCUCACCACCGAGUACCUCGGACAAGGUGAUGGUGCCAGUGGAGCAGUGAAGAGGGAGGAUGGUGGCAAUGGCAACAAAGAUGGCAGUGCUAGGGUUGAACAUCUGCUAUGAUACCAUGUUGAAAAUCAGAGGUACACAAUAGGGGAACACAUGAAGGGAGAGAAAUGAGCUCUAUCAUGGAGGACAAAGGGAAGAACGGCAACAACUGUUGCCACCUCUAAAUUUAUUCCCCUCUAGUGUCCUUUAUAUAGGGAGCAAACCUAGACAUUUUUCUCAAAAAUCCCUCAGCCUUAACAAUAUUUCCUUACAACUUAGAACCUCCAACAAUAACAUAAAAAUACUUUAGAAUAGUCAUACACUGAAAAAGGAACAAAAAGUAAAGGUACCAAUACUAAAAACUUAAUUAAAUAUACAAAAUGGCAACAUCACCCACCAACAAAAGACAACAAGAAAAAGAAACCAUCAGCUUAUCAGACAGCAAAAGCUGGAAAAAGAAAGUCACAAAUAAAUAGUGCAUAAAAGGACAUAGAAAAUAAAUAUUGAGUUCAGGAAUUAAAAGCCUCAGUUUUGAGAUGUACAUCACAUAGCUGUGACUGCACGAAAACACUAGCAGCUAUAAAUCGCAUCAAUAACAGAGUCAUAAGAAUUCGUCCAUAUUAUAUAUUGUGUAGACAAGAGUCCAUAAAAAAUAGCCAGAUCAUGCUUCCACUCUAGAAACAGGGUAGACUUCAAAUCUUCCCCAAUCAAAGAAAAGUCCAAAAACAUUCAAAACAACGACAAAGAAAAAGAAUAACCUUU
rnacentral:lncRNA from 1 species